UACCUGGUUGAUCCUGCCAGUAGUCAUAUGCUUGUCUCAGAGACUAAGCCAUGCACGUCUAAGUACAAACUAAAUGAUGGUGAAACUGCAAAUGGCUCAUUACAACGGUUAUGAUGUACCCGGGAGUUCCGAUGGAUAUUUCCAGUAACACUAGAACUAAUACAUGCUCCUGCGUUUAUUAGUUUCGCACAGUCCGUCGCUGAGUCAUGGUAAACAGUUGAUCGACUCGACGUCCCGGAACAGUUUCCGCCCCAUCAGCUUCGAUGGUUGGGUAUUGGCCUACCAUUGCAACAACGGGUAACGAGGAAUUAGGGUUUGAUUUCGGAGAGGGAGCCUGAGAAACGGCUACCACAUCUACGGAUGGCAGCAGGCGCGCAAAUUACCCAAUGCAGACUCUGUGAGGUAGUGACGAGAAAUAAUAAAGCGGGACUUCUGUUUCGCUAUUAUAAUGAGGAAUAACCAAAGGUCAUUCCGAUUAGCAACUGAUGGGAAAGUCUGGUGCCAGCAGCCGCGGUAAUACCAGCGUCAGUAGCAUAUAUUAAAAUUGUUGCAGUUAAAACGUCCGUAGUCUGUACGUCGUCCCAACUCACUGCAGUCUUCCGUUUUCUUCAUUGAAUGCGGUAGUUCUGCAGUCACUCCCUUGAUCAAAUUAGGUUGUUCAAGGUAGACCAAGUCUUCAUAUUUUCACAUGGAAUUUGGGUGAGGGAACCUUAAGAGUUUAAAGUUUCUCGUUCUUAGGAAUCAUCCGAGAGUCAAUCCGUACUCGUCCGCGGAGGAGGUGAAAUUCUUGGACCGGACGAAGACGACCAGCAGCGAAAGCAUCUGUCAGGGAUGUUUUUCUGCGACAAAGGACGAAGGUCAGGGUAUCGAAGACGAUUAGAUACCGUCGUAGUCCUGACUGUAAACUAUGCCCAACUUGGGUCUUGCUGGGCGAUGCUUUGUGAGACCCGCACAGAAAUGAAAGUGUAUGGGUUCUGGGGGUAGUAUGGACACAAGUCUGAAACUUGAAGGAAUUGACGGAAGAGCACCAUAAGACGUGGAGCUUGCGGCUUAAUUUGACUCAACGCGGGAAAACUUACCAGGUCAAGACAUGGGCGUGAUUGACAGGCUAAUGACUUUUCUCGAUUCCAUGGAUGGUGGUGCAUGGUCGCACUUAGUUGGUGCAGUGAUUUGUCAGGUUUAUUCCGGUAACGAACGAGACCUCGGCCUUGUAAAUAGCUAUGCUGCUUACAGGGACAUUGGUGGCUACACCAAGGAAGCUCGAGGCAAUUGCAGAUCUGGAAUGCCCUUAGAUGUCCUGGGUCGCACGCGUGCUACAAUGACGCCACGAACGAGUUUGCGUGAUGAAAGUCACGCAUAAUCAGCAGUCGGCGUCUUAAGGGAUAGUCUCUUGUAACUGUGGGACUCCAACUAGGAAUGUCUCGUAAGCACAAGUCAACAUCUUGUGUUGAUUACGUCCCUGCUCUUUGUACACACCGCCCGUCGCUCCUACCGAUCGAGUGUUUAGGUGAAAUUGAUAGACGUAAGGAAGUCAAUUAAAUCUGGACACUUAGAGGAAGGAGAAGUCGUAACAAGGUUUCCGUAGGUGAACCUGCAGAAGGAUC
rnacentral:rRNA from 1 species